UGGCAAGGCUGGGAUCCAGCAGACAGCGCAUCCAGCCCAGCUGCACCCCAUCUCACCCAUACCCUGCCUGGAUCUACAACCACUACUGAUGCCCUUAUAGAUACUGGGAAUUACAGUUAGCCUCACUAAGAUCAGACUAUGUUCAACUUGGAGUGACUUUGAUCCCACUGUGGCUGUCAUACCUUCGUGGUACAGAGGUUCCAUCCCACUGCUCUCUCUUCCUUUACUUGUACUGGAGGUGGAGAUGCCUUGCUGCUUGGAUAGCUAAUCAGCCCUGGAAGGUGUAAUUAAAUAACAACAUGCUGUGCCACCUGAAGUCUCUCAGGAUUAAGAUGGGGUUUUAAUUGUCUAAUGCAAGAAAUGUGUUGGGUUUUUGUGUGUUGGAUUCCUUCUGGUGAGGCAAGAAAAGCAUCUUUCUGCCAACAGCCUUGCCAGAAAUGGUCACCAGAUACUCUCAUCCCCUGACGGUUACCUGAUCGUUUCUGCACACGCUGCCAGGAGGUUUCCAUCUGUAGAUCUUAAGAAGCCCAAAGUUAUGCCUUUCUAUGCUGGCUCCAGACAAUCAGAGACCUGACCUGGAUGGGAUGGCGUAUCUAUCACGCAUCAUGCAUGUACUGAUCAACAAUCACGCAGAUCUUGAUGGAGAUUAUUUUGUACUCAGCAAUUUCCUGCAGUCACAUAUUGACGUGUUGACACGUGGAUAUGCUGAUACACUGCACAUCACCUCAAGGACCAUCUACCCACUGUGCUGGUGCUGCCAGUGUUUCAGCAGAGAUCAACAACUUGAGAGACCUUCCACAUCCUCCUGAAUGUGUGGGACACACAGGGGCUAAUAGAACCUCCUUUACCCAUUGGGUUUUGCACUGUCUCCAUGGAGUCCAUUGCAUUUCGGCUCUCUGGGGUUGGGGUUUUGCAGUCCCUGGAUGCAGGUGAUGCCUGGCAGCAGCAUGCAGGUGCACCACGUAGCAGGCUGCAGCCCUCCUCCUUCCCACGGCUGCAUGCUCACUGCUCCAUCAGCACAGAUUUCCAUGAUCGAUUUGUAGGAAGAAAAGAGCCAGAUAAGAAAUAUGUUUUUAAUAGUAAUGUCACCAAUGAAUGCGAGGAUCUUGAUAUCAGCCAUUAAGUAAAAGCAGGGGUGGAAUGAGCAUCAUUUGUCUGUUGCCAGCUUCUCCCAACUGGCUUCCAUUUAGACGAGGGAAAAAAAAUCUCAUCACUGCUAUCCCAGGUAACAGUGAAAUAUAUUUGUUGUCAGCAGCAGGUCAGAAUGCAGAG
ensembl:lncRNA